UACGUAGGGUGCGAGCGUUGUCCGGAAUUACUGGGCGUAAAGAGCUCGUAGGUGGUUUGUCGCGUUGUUCGUGAAAACUCACAGCUCAACUGUGGGCGUGCGGGCGAUACGGGCAGGCUAGAGUUCGGUAGGGGAGACUGGAAUUCCUGGUGUAGCGGUGAAAUGCGCAGAUAUCAGGAGGAACACCGGUGGCGAAGGCGGGUCUCUGGGCCGAUACUGACGCUGAGGAGCGAAAGCGUGGGGAGCGAACAGG
rnacentral:rRNA from 1 species